AGCGAACGCUGGCGGCAGGCUUAACACAUGCAAGUCGAGCGGGCAUCCUUGUGGUGUCAGCGGCAGACGGGUGAGUAACGCGUGGGAACGUGCCCUUCGGUUCGGAAUAACUCAGGGAAACUUGAGCUAAUACCGGAUACGUGCGAGAGCAGAAAGGUUUAUCUGCCGAAGGAUCGGCCCGCGUCUGAUUAGCUAGUUGGUGAGGUUAUGGCUCACCAAGGCGACGAUCAGUAGCUGGUCUGAGAGGAUGAUCAGCCACACUGGGACUGAGACACGGCCCAGACUCCUACGGGAGGCAGCAGUGGGGAAUAUUGGACAAUGGGGGCAACCCUGAUCCAGCCAUGCCGCGUGAGUGAUGACGGCCUUAGGGUUGUAAAGCUUUUUUCUUCGGGACGAUAAUGACGGUACCGGAGGAAUAAGCCCCGGCUAACUUCGUG
rnacentral:rRNA from 1 species